GAUGAACGCUGGCGGCGUGCCUAAUACAUGCAAGUCGAGCGAACAGACGAGGAGCUUGCUCCUCUGACGUUAGCGGCGGACGGGUGAGUAACACGUGGAUAACCUACCUAUAAGACUGGGAUAACUUCGGGAAACCGGAGCUAAUACCGGAUAAUAUAUUGAACCGCAUGGUUCAAUAGUGAAAGACGGUUUUGCUGUCACUUAUAGAUGGAUCCGCGCCGCAUUAGCUAGUUGGUAAGGUAACGGCUUACCAAGGCGACGAUGCGUAGCCGACCUGAGAGGGUGAUCGGCCACACGGGAACUGAGACACGGUCCAGACUCCUACGGGAGGCAGCAGUAGGGAAUCUUCCGCAAUGGGCGAAAGCCUGACGGAGCAACGCCGCGUGAGUGAUGAAGGUCUUCUGAUCGUAAAACUCUGUUAUUAGGGAAGAACAAAUGUGUAAGUAACUAUGCACGUCUUGACGGUACCUAAUCAGAAAGCCACGGCUAACUACGUG
rnacentral:rRNA from 1 species